CGAUGGAGACCAGCCUUGGCUGGACCACUUCCACCCCAGAGGCUCUUCACCGCCUCCCCAUCCAGACUCAAGGUUCCCUAGUGGUCCGGACGGUUUCCUUGGCAGCGCUGGCACCAGGCCCACCACAGCUGCCAAACAUGAGGUGAUGGGACAGCCCUCGUGGCCUCCACCCACUGCCCUGGUGGAGAAGUGAAACAUGAACCCACCAGUGCAAGACAGAGGAAGAGGCACCAGCGAAGUCACCCUAGGGAGAAUCCAUAUCAGCCUGGCCAAGCAGGGGAGGCCUCACGAAGCCCUGGGAAGCCAGAGCAAUAAAACUCUCGUUCAAACAAACGAUUUCAGUGGUAAGACACGAAAAGGAAGCUGUUCCUGCUGAUGAAGGGUGAGAAACCUGGAGCCUUCCCUCCCUCCACGCCACGUGGCAGACACCUCAGGGAAUGCUGGGUCUCAGGAGAACACGCCGAUCCCGUUAACACACAGUCUUCAUAUGAAACCAUGUGGGAAUUCAACACAUGCUGUCUCCUCUCUAACCUGAGAUCCCGGCCCCGUUCCACAAAGUGAGGCAGCCUCUUAUAUACCCCUCACAAGCCAAGUACUAGGGUGGUGGCCAAAGGGGAGAGACAGGCCAGGGUGUGGGUGGGCCAAAGAAAUCUGAGAGGGACAGGAGCUACGGUGGCCUGGUCUCUGAGCCUGCAGAGGCUCCCUUCCAGAGAGAGAGCUUGGAACUCAGUCUCUGCCUCCCUUCUUCUCUCCCUCCCUCCAGCAGAACUGCCCUGCCCCAGGUGGUUCAUACCUCGCCAGUCCCCUAGGCCUACACCUUUCCUAACCUUAGGAGAGACAUAAGAAAAGGAAUCCCUCCCCU